rnacentral:tRNA from 1 species
GGGUAUAGCUCAAUUGGUAGAGCAACGGUCUCCAAAACCGUGUGCUGAGGGUUCAAGUCCUUCUGCCC